rnacentral:rRNA from 1 species
UACGAAGGGGGCUAGCGUUGCUCGGAAUCACUGGGCGUAAAGCGCACGUAGGCGGAUUGUUAAGUCAGGGGUGAAAUCCUGGAGCUCAACUCCAGAACUGCCUUUGAUACUGGCGAUCUCGAGUCCGGGAGAGGUGAGUGGAACUGCGAGUGUAGAGGUGAAAAUUCGUAGAUAUUCGCAAGAACACCAGUGGCGAAGGCGGACUCACUGGCCCGGUACUGGACGCUGAGGUGCGAAAGCGUGGGGAG